GGGGACUUAGUUUAGUGGCAAAACAGCGGUCUCCAAAACCGCAGACGGGGGUUCGAUUCCCUCAGUCCCUGCAA
rnacentral:tRNA from 1 species